rnacentral:rRNA from 1 species
GUGUUAGUGGAAGCGUCUGGAAAGGCGCGCGAUACAGGGUGACAGCCCCGUACACAAAAAUGCACAUACUGUGAGCUCGAUGAGUAGGGCGGGACACGUGGUAUCCUGUCUGAAUAUGGGGGGACCAUCCUCCAAGGCUAAAUACUCCUGACUGACCGAUAGUGAACCAGUACCGUGAGGGAAAGGCGAAAAGAACCCCGGCGAGGGGAGUGAAAAAGAACCUGAAACCGUGUACGUACAAGCAGUGGGAGCCUCUUUUAUGGGGUGACUGCGUACCUUUUGUAUAAUGGGUCAGCGACUUAUAUUCUGUAGCAAGGUUAACCGAAUAGGGGAGCCGAAGGGAAACCGAGUCUUAACUGGGCGUUAAGUUGCAGGGUAUAGACCCGAAACCCGGUGAUCUAGCCAUGGGCAGGUUGAAGGUUGGGUAACACUAACUGGAGGACCGAACCGACUAAUGUUGAAAAAUUAGCGGAUGACUUGUGGCUGGGGGUGAAAGGCCAAUCAAACCGGGAGAUAGCUGGUUCUCCCCGAAAGCUAUUUAGGUAGCGCCUCGUGAAUUCAUCUCCGGGGGUAGAGCACUGUUUCGGCAAGGGGGUCAUCCCGACUUACCAACCCGAUGCAAACUGCGAAUACCGGAGAAUGUUAUCACGGGAGACACACGGCGGGUGCUAACGUCCGUCGUGAAGAGGGAAACAACCCAGACCGCCAGCUAAGGUCCCAAAGUCAUGGUUAAGUGGGAAACGAUGUGGGAAGGCCCAGACAGCCAGGAUGUUGGCUUAGAAGCAGCCAUCAUUUAAAGAAAGCGUAAUAGCUCACUGGUCGAGUCGGCCUGCGCGGAAGAUGUAACGGGGCUAAACCAUGCACCGAAGCUGCGGCAGCGACGCUUAUGCGUUGUUGGGUAGGGGAGCGUUCUGUAAGCCUGCGAAGGUGUGCUGUGAGGCAUGCUGGAGGUAUCAGAAGUGCGAAUGCUGACAUAAGUAACGAUAAAGCGGGUGAAAAGCCCGCUCGCCG